CAGCGCCGCGGUAAUACGUAGGUCCCGAGCGUUGUCCGGAUUUAUUGGGCGUAAAGCGAGCGCAGGCGGUUAGAUAAGUCUGAAGUUAAAGGCUGUGGCUUAACCAUAGUAUGCUUUGGAAACUGUUUAACUUGAGUGCAGAAGGGGAGAGUGGAAUUCCAUGUGUAGCGGUGAAAUGCGUAGAUAUAUGGAGGAACACCGGUGGCGAAAGCGGCUCUCUGGUCUGUAACUGACGCUGAGGCUCGAAAGCGUGGGGAGCAAACAGGAUUAGAUACCCCAGUAGUCCCUGUCUCUUAUACAC
rnacentral:rRNA from 1 species